rnacentral:tRNA from 1 species
GCCGCUAUCGUCUAUCGGUUAGGACAGCGGGUUUUCAUCCCGUAAAGCAGGGUUCGAUUCCCUGUAGCGGCA